CCCACGAGACCACGAAGAAGAAGAAGAGACCCCAAGCCUUCGUUGUCAGUGUGUCGUUGUUCGUACGUCGUCAGCCUGUUCCAUUUCAGCGCACUUGUCGUCAUUCUAGAACACAACUCACCAUCUGAUGAUGUACUGUCCGCACUCCACAUGGGCAACUCCCUUCGUCAUCACAGCGGCAACAUAACAGACCCUCUAACUGGGAUGACCGCCACUGAGAAGCUUGGCGUGCGCACAACAUGGGGCCAAUUUUACAAAAACAAAGAAAAUGCCGUCGACCUCUUCGUGGAGUUAUACAGAACGCAUCCAGAAACCCAACAGCUGUUCCCUUUCGCCAAAGAGCCAAUCGAAGCGCUGUCCUGUAAUCCCCAAGUCAUCGCACACUGCGUGGCAGUUGCGGGACAAGUCGCGGCAAUGGUGGAUGCACUGGACGACGUGGGGCUCUUCGAAGAGCUCGUACGGAAGAACGCCCGCUCUCACGCUAACCGCAAGGGAGUGACCACCCAGCACUUUGUCUUUCUUGGCCAGGUAAUGAGGAUGGUGAUGCACAAGAAACUGGGCUCGUGCAUGUUGAUCGAAGCUGAUGUUGGCUGGGAGAAGUUCUUCAAGCUCCUGAUGAUUAUCACCACGCAAGUGUACUCCACCAUUCGUCCCCCGCCACCAAAGCCGCCAAAGUCUCAACACAAAGGCGGCCGUGCGGCAAAAUGAAUGAAACAUAAAUGUCCAAGAACGGUGGAAACUUCUAUAGAACCAAUGAUUUUCUAGAAUGCCAGCUGCUGCCGUUGAACUAAACCUUAAUGGAAUGCGAAAUAAGUUGCGCAUAAGUUGCUACAUGUUGCUGAUAAAGUAUACUGUAUACAUAAUUGCUAUAAAAUGU